rnacentral:lncRNA from 1 species
CAAGAACAUUUUAAGUAUAGAAAACUUCUUUUCCACAGAGGUAUUUUCUGGAAUGGGUAGACUCCAGAAUACCUUUCCUUAAAACACAUACCCAUUUCCUUAGAACGAAAAAAGAUCUACCAAAGUUAAAAAUCAGAAAACAGAAGGGAAUAUUCUCCUUUAGCUCUUUUUUAUUACUCUAAAAACAUGUGUGGACAUUUUGGUAUAUAUUUAAGAAGAGGCUCUAAUCAUACUGUUCACACUCAGCUUUUUUGACUUGCAUUUUGCAGGUUGGUGAACCUCCAGGGGAAAAUGUGCUCUUUGAGAUUUAAUGUCCCCUGGCUCAUAAAACAUUGCAGGUGUUUUCAUCUGUGCCACUCUGAGUGGUGAGUCAAAACCAACUCACUCUCAGUGGCAGGAAAUAAUUAAGAUACUAAGGAUUUGGCUUGAAAUUGCUGGAAAUGGGAUUCCUGCUGUGAUACAGUGUGUUAAUCUUCCAGCCUUGUCUCAGUGACAGCUGGAAUUCAAUCCCUGGCCCAGGAACUUCCAUAUGCCACAGGUGAGGCCAUAAUAGAUAGAUAGAUAGACAGACAGACAGAAAGAGUCACAGCAAAAUUGAGAAUAAGGUACCUAGUUUUUCCAUAAACCCCCUGUCCCCACCUGCAUAGCCUCUCCCAUUAUCAACAUCCCCACCAGAGUGGUGCAUUUUGUUGCAACUGACAUGACAAUUAUCCAAAGACAAUAAUUUACAUUAGGGUUCACCCUUUGUCUUGCACCUUCUAUGAAUUUGCACAAAGGUAUAAUCACAUGUAUCCACCCAAAUAGUAUCCUACAGAGAAAUUUCACUGCCCUAAAAAUCUUCUGUGCUCCAACAGUUCAUCUUCCCUCCCGAAACCCCUGCUAACGGCUGUAAAAAAUGUCUAUCUAAAAAACGAAAACUGCUCUAAAAAGCAAAUUCUGUUUUUUAAAAAAUACUAGAAAGAUGCCCGUGGGGUGAGCGGAGAAAAGUGCCUCCAGCUAGUCUUAUGGUUUCUUACCUCAGUGAUCUCUAAAAUAGUCGAGGAGGAUGUUAGUGCUUGUCUGAGUGAGUUGCUAAAGUUAAAAAGGAGCAUCCGCAUUUCUUUUUUUUAUAGUUCUUUAUUUUUUUAAUUUAAUUUUAUUGGAGUAUAGUUGACUGAUAAUGUUGUUUUAGUUUCAAGUGUACAGCAAAGUAAAUCAGUCAUACAGAUACAUACAUCCAUUUUUUCCCAUAUAGCUUAUUACAAAUUAUUGAGUAGAUUUUCCUCUGCUAUAUAGUAGGAUUUUGUCAAUCAUCUACUUUAUACAGUAGUGUGUAUAUUUUAUUCCCACCCUCCCAAUUCUUCCCUCGCCCCAACAGCUUCACCUGUGGUAACCAUAAGAUUGCUUUUGAAAUCUGUGUGUUUGUUUCUAUUUUUCAAACAAGCUUUUUGGGGGGUAUCAUUUAAAUUAGAUUCCAAAUAUAAGUAGUAUCAUAAGAUAUUGUCUUUGUCUGUCCAGCUUCAUUCACUGUGAUAAUCUCUAGGUCCACAUAUAUUGCUACAAAUGGCAUUACUUCAUUCUUUUUAUGGCUGAAUAAUAUUCCAUUGCGUAUAUGUACCACAUCUUCUUUAUCCAUUCCUCUGUCGAUGGACAUUUAGGUUGCUUCCAUGUCCUGGCUCUUGUAAAUAGUGUUGCAAUGAACACUGGGGUGAAUGUAUCUUUUUGAAUUAGAGUUUUCUCUAGAUAUAUGCCCAGGAGUGGGGUUGCUAGAUCACAUGGUAGUUCUAGAUUUAGUUUUUUAAGGAGCCUCCAUACCAUGGGUAUGACCCUGGAAAAGACAAAAAGACAAUAAAUAAAUAAAUAAAUAAAUA